AAUCUUUUAGAGAGAGAGACGGUUCGUUAUCAAUCGUAACUUCAGUCGGCGUUACGACUCCCGUGUGAAUGGGCUUUUUCUCCGGAAAAGAUGGCUCCUCCAGCGUCGCUUGUCCGGCUUUGGUCUCCGGCGUCAGACCUUCUCUUUCGGGGUUGACAGCUGGCUCCUCGCUGGUUUAUCCGGCUUUUAUAUUUCUUUUAUCGUUUUCUGUAUCUGUUGAAUCUGAUCGAUUGCAUGUGGCUGAAUUUUUUUCUUCCUUCAAGCGAUGGUGGUUCUCGCUCUAAUUCCUGCUUGCAUCGUUAUUGGUUGAAAUCAUCUGUGCAUCAUGUUCCGGUUGGUUUCCGGUGGCUGCCGAUUGAUUUCCGGCGACGACCUUCAAGUCAGUGAACGGAGUUGGUGUUUUCCUUUCUUGAAGCGUGUCUCCUCUUCGUACACGUGGUGUCGAGUCGGAUAGUUUCCGAGUUCUCUAUUGGGCUGUUGUCUGGCCUUAUGUUGGCCCUCUUAUGUAAUUAUUGUGUAGCCUUCGGGCUUUAAGUUUAGAUGGGCAUGAUGGACCUUGUC
rnacentral:lncRNA from 1 species